ACCAGUAACCACCAUUAACAACCAGCUUCACCAGUAACCACCAGUGAUGCUGCUGCUAGGAGGAGACAGACACUUAUUAACAACCAGCUUCACCAGUAACCACCAGUGAUGCUGCUGUUAGGAGGAGACAGACACUUAUUAACAACCAGCUUCACCAGUAACCACCAGUGAUGCUGCUGCUAGGAGGAGACAGACACUUAUUAACAACCAGCUUCACCAGUAACCACCAGUGAUGCUGCUGUUAGGAGGAGACAGACACUAAACAACCAGCUUCACCAGUAACCACCAGUGCUGCUGCUGUUAGGAGGAGACAGACACUUAACAACCAGCUUCACCAGUAACCACCAGUGUUGCUGCUGUUAGGAGGAGACAGACACUAAACAAGGCCUUUAUUGUACUGCCUGAGAGACACUGUACCCACUUCUCAACUACAGUAUAGCCUAAAGAAAGGAACGUGUAACUAAAUAACCUUGAAGUUAUGAAGAUGAUGACGUUUAUUAUGACUAUCAUGAUGGUGACAAUGAUUAGGCUGAUUUUAGUGAUGGUAUAUUAUGCUGAUUUUAGUGAUGGUAUAUAAUGCUGAUUUUAGUGAUGGUAUUGUAACGACCCUGGGUGUCUAAGCGCGGAAAUCGACCCUGCCGCACGAGCAUGCUUUUGCGGCACAGUCGAUAGCGCGCCGUACCUCGGGCUCGAAGGUCGAGGGUUCGAGACCUGCUCCCUGCUGUUUCAUUACAGUAUAUAAUGCUGAUUUUAGUGAUGGUAUAUUAUGCUGAUAUUAGUGAUGGUAUACAAUGCUGAUUUUAAUGAAGGUAUAUUAUUCAGAUUUUAGUGAUGGUAUAUUAUACUGAUUUUAGUGAUGGUAUAUUAUGCUGAUUUUAGUGAUGGUAUAUUAUGCUGAUUUGAGUGAUGGUAAUCAUGAUUAUUUUUGGUAGGUCUCUUACUAGUAUAAUUAUCUUGAUUUCUGGGAAAUCAGGGUGCAGAUUUCAACUAGCCACAGAGUGCCUCUUUAGAUGUAGUUAUCUAUUGUCUGUCGGUGGCUGUGUGUUUGUCUGGUGUUCUGUGGUAACAGAUGUACGAUGUGCGAGGCAGAUUUACAGACUGUGGGUCUUUUUGUGUGUGUGUGUGUGUGUGUGUGUGUGUGUGUGUGUGUGUGUGUGUGUGUGUGUGUGUGUGUCUGAAUUGAGUGUUUAUUAGGAUCCCAUUGGCUAGUGCUAAAGCAGCAGCUACUCUUCCUGGAAUCCACAUAAAACAUGACAUAAUACAGAACAUGAAUAGACAAGAACAGCAUCAGGACAGAACUACAUACAAUGUCAAAUAAGUAUACACUUUUCAUUCAUUAUCGCCUUCAUAAUCAGGCGAUUCAUAGACACUACUGAAUGCAAUUGCAACACACGAAAAGAGGUGCGUUGCAAACUGACGUGAAUAUAGCAAACCUGUUUCUCUAAAUUCCCCUGUGUAGGUGUGUGUGUUCUGCGAGGGGAAGUGAGUAGGCUGUGUGUGUGAGUAACGUAAACGGCUGUACCCAAACCGUGGUGGUUACUGUGGUCACAAGUGACAAUGAGGAUGUCUCACAAUCAGUCAGUCAGUCACCUCAG
ensembl:lncRNA